UGGCAGGAAUACUUUAAGAAAUUGGCGUGGCAACUCCAGCCAUUCCUUUUAGUCUUUAUUUCUUCUGUUCUGGAUGGCUUCUUAAGAGAUUAUAUUGCUGGCUGGGCUUAGCUGGGACACCUUGACUUAGUUCUGUGAGCCAUGGUGGCUAUUUUUUAUCCCCAGAUAAGAGCUGGAAACCAAGAGGAGUUUCAGGAGCCCACCCUAAGGACAUGAAAUAAUUUAAAAGACCAUGUUUAGAAGAGAAUUUAAAUACUAGAAAGAAUUUAAAUACUAGAAAAUAGACAAACACUAAAUAAAUCUGGAUUAGACUGUUUCCAAACCUCUCAAAUGUAGUUACAGUGCUGCUUGCUUGACCUGCCAAAGAAAUGCCAGAAAACAGUUUCUCCACUAUGACUUUUCCCAGCAUUUCUUCCUUGCCUGACUGGUUUGCUGAGACAAGAAGUCUGUCCCUGUACAGUCCUCUGGAAAGAAGACAAGGAGAACCCAGCUUUAAGGACAGAGAUUGAACUCUGAUGCCAACCACUCUCAUGGCUGAGGCCUAUUUUCCAUUGAUUUUGGAGCUGAAGAGACAUCUCUUACUGUGCAAGGACAGGCUAUGCUCAGGAUGGAUUAGGAGCUCUAUCUAAAAAAACAGUGUUGGUUUUUCCUGGAGAGAUUGGCUCCUAUAAAGGGCAAAAGCCAUUUGAUCUUACACAGAAGUUUAUGGUCUCCCUUCCAUCUCAAAGUCCUCCUCAUUAUCAAGGCAGGAGAAUGUUUUGCAGGUACUCAGAGAAUGGAAGGGCCAGUUAGGAGGCUGAGCAAAGCCACUACUACAGGUAGCAAGGAACUGUAUCUCAUUCCCAGUGACAUUGCUGCGGAGAUGCACAAGAGGAACACCAAAUUCCAAACUUGCAGCAGUAAUGACCUUCAGUAA
rnacentral:lncRNA from 1 species